ensembl:lncRNA
AUGCAAAUGGCAUGUGCUCCGUUUGCCUCCAGGACCUGCAGGAGCACAGCUGGCCUCAGUGUCAACAGGAUUCCUCAUGUGGGACGGAUCUGGAAGAAUCCAGGGCUCCGGCUGCACAUCCAGACGAAUCCAGCAACCACAAAGGACAUGGUCUGGGCUGCUACAGAACCAGCAGAGGGACAGAGGCAGCUGGAAGCGUCCAAGCAGACGGUUAGAGAUCAAGAGACUGAGCUGAAGGAAAUCCAAAAGGCAUCUCGUGGACUCAAGGUAAGAUUAAAAAGUGGAAUAAUUUUCCAAACAAUUCUUCCUAUCCCAGAUUAAUAGACUUAGGCUAUAAGAAGGUGACAGGAUCUUCACUGAACUGUUCGGUGUUCACUGUUUGGUGAACAAAUUAGUUGUUGCCUUCAAACCAAUUUUAUUCCAAAGUAUGGCACCCUUUUGUCUUAACAGUGUUCAACCUAAACUGCACCUUUGUGGUCAGAAUUUCCAUACAUCCAAAAGCAACAAGUACAGACUGUUUGACUGGAAAAAAACCUUGCGGAGAAAACCAGUCAGUGACGUACAGUAAGAUCUGGUGGAUUACAGCAUCUUAAUGUAGAGCUGGUAAGUGGGCUGAGGUUGAAAGUAGUUCCAUAUGGGACCUGUACCUACCUGUAAAACCCCCCUGAAGAUGCUAAAGGAAUAUGAAGAUAGAAAACAAACAACAACUUGUAUUUCAGUGCUUGUGCAUUCCCUCCAAGACACUCUGCGUUCCCUCACAAAACCAUAUGCAAAGUUUCUCAAGUAAAUGCAAAAGUUUUGGGAGUGACCUCCAAGUUUUGUAAGGGGACACAAAACCUUUGCGUGCGGACACUACAUUUCUCAGGGGAACGGAAAAGCACUGAAACACAAUUCUUCCUCUUAUCUCAACAGUCAUAUCCUAUGUCUUUUCAAGACAAAUCAAAUCUAGUUUAGCUUUAGCCCUAAUGAAACACACUUGAAAACUCUAACCCAAGUCUUCAGGAUUACUGGAAAUCUACAGUUUGUGUGAUCAGUGUUGAGGCUAAAAAGGCUUGCACCAGGGACUCCGUGGUUUUUAACAGAACACUUGGGUUUUACAAAAUCCUUCAUGUCUUCCACCACUUGCAGAAAUGUCUGCAGAUUCCCAAAUAACCAACCCAUUCUGUCACAUCUCUGAAUAAAAAUGAUGGAAAUUAAAGCA